CAGCCGCCGCGGUAAUACGUAGGUGGCAAGCGUUGUCCGGAAUUAUUGGGCGUAAAGGGCUCGCAGGCGGUUUCUUAAGUCUGAUGUGAAAGCCCCCGGCUCAACCGGGGAGGGUCAUUGGAAACUGGGAAACUUGAGUGCAGAAGAGGAGAGUGGAAUUCCACGUGUAGCGGUGAAGUGCGUAGAGAUGUGGAGGAACACCAGUGGCGAAGGCGACUCUCUGGUCUGUAACUGACGCUGAGGAGCGAAAGCGUGGGGAGCGAACAGGAUUAGAUACCCGCGUAGUCCCUGUCUCUUAUAA
rnacentral:rRNA from 1 species